rnacentral:misc_RNA from 1 species
GAUGAAGAACGCAGCGAAAUGCGACAAGUAAUGCGAAUUGCAGAAUUCCAGUGAGUCAUCGAAUCUUUGAACGCACAUUGCGCCCUUUGGUAUUCCGAAGGGCAUGCCUGUUCGAGCGUCAUUAUCACCCCUCAAGCCCUCGGCUUGGUGUUGGACGGUUUGGUGGAGGCCCCCUCGGGGGCUCCUGCCCCUCCCAAAGACAAUGACGGCGGCCUCGUUGGACCCCCGGUACACUGAGUUCUUCACGGGACACGUAUCGGACACAUGGGUUUACGGGACACGGUCUGCCUCCCCUCAGGGAGAAUCUUUCUAAGGUUGACCUCGGAUCAGGUAGGGAUACCCGCUGAACUUAAGCAUAUCAAUAAGCGGAGGA